GAGCAGGGCGGAGCUCAGGGGCCCCGCCAGAGCCACACUGCAGCUGUCGAGGGAAGCUGCUGGAUGCGCUGAGGCUCCAGAGCUCACAUCACAUCUUCCCAGCUGAUCACGAUGGCUCCACGCAGCAAACAAUCUCCCACUUGGACCACUGCAGAGCUACUGGAUGUGAUAAGUGUUUGGGGAGAGGAAGCUGUGCAGUCACAGCUGUGCUUGAGACGCAGGAAUUUUGAUGCCUACAGCCAGAUUGCAUGCAGCUUGCGCAAAAAGGGAUAUGCCUGAGACAUGCUGCUGUGCAAAGCAAAGGUGAAGGAGCUGAGGAACACAUGCCACAAGGCAAGGGAGGCAAACCGUCGCUCUGGUGCUGCGCCCUAAACCUGCUGCUUUUAUAAGGAAUUGGAUGCUAUCCUAGGUAGUGACCCCCACCUCCACCGCAAAGAGCCCUGUGGAUACUUUGGCGGGUCUGGAGCCAGUGGAAAGUUGACCUAACCCAGAGGAGGAAGUCAUUGAUGAAGAGGUGGAGGCUGAAGAUGUGGAGACCUAUGAUGCGGCUAGUCAGGAGCUGUUCUCCACUCCAGAAGUGUCUAGCCAGUCUCUGUAAUCACCGUCUAGCGAGCCAGAAGCAGGACAGGAGACCCCAGACUUCACCUUGAGAACCAACCCUCCAACAGAAGCAGAGCAUCUGCACAAGAUAAGAAAAUGGCUGAGAUGGACCAAGGAAGAUAUGUUCUGGGUGAGGCUGCAGCAGUCAGAGGUAGAAAACACCCAACACAAGAGGUUGAGGGAAAGUGACAAGCAGGAAAGAGAAGAGAAGGAUUCUUACAACAGGGAUGCCACAGAGCGGCUGAUUAAAGUUCUGGAGUGUCAAACCGACAUGCUCCAGAUGCUCGUAACACUGAAGACUGAGCAGACUGAUGCAUGCCCGCCCUCCCCUUCAGCACAUUCAGAACUCUUUUCCCAGGAACUCCCCAAACUCCCCUCGCGCAUUUCUUUCCGCCUUCUGGCACUUCACCCUUUCCUCUACACUCCACCCCUACAGACAGCUGUUCCAAUGAAAGCUGGACCUAUACUCAGCUAUGAAAAUCAACCC